UCUGGCUGGAAUCCGGUGGAUACAGCAGUGUUACAGGUGUGGGGAUAAUAUGUAAGACUGCAGUGAAGCGAUGUACCAGAUGAAUCCCUGGCCAAAGAACAGUUCGCCACAGUCGCUGUCCACAUGGGUCAGUGGGACCAAGCAGCACUCUGCUAAUGUGUGGACUCUGACCAGCAACAUCCAGCAAGACCCAGGCAGCGUUUUCUAUCUCCCAGCUGGAGUUUUGUUUGUGACGGGAGAGUCAGAUUUUUGUUGAAGCUGGAGGAACAGCCUCACACUUGCAGAGGUUAAUACACGCUACUGAUCCCUGAUGGGAGAAUCAUCACCUCUGCCAACAAAGAAGCCUGGUGGAUGUUUGUUUGCAGUCUGAUGAUGGGACAUCAUGCUCUGCAUCUUCAAAGUUUGUCUCUUGAUUAUUAUUCAUACACAGUAAUGUGAAGUAUGCUCAUAUCUAGUAUAACUGGACCAACCUGGUGCUCUUCAUUUAUGGAGGCUGUUGAGUCUGAAUGUUGGAUGUUGUGUAUCUCGUGUUCUCUGGGCUUUGUUGUCCUCAGUCUUUUUGCAGGAUCAGAAAACAAAACCAGGAGGCCUGUAAAUGUUUCUUCUCCAAUUGGAUGAUGAUAAGACUGUGACAUGGGAUGCCACCUUUAGUCUUGUGAUGAAGCAAAGCUCAGGAAGAAGUGUGAUUAAAUGGUACCCACAUGUGUGCUGCUGAGAAGGAUGUACAGGGGCACCUGCAGCCAAAUCCAAGCCGCCUCAGCAACUUCAGGUCUGUCAGCGUGCUGAGGUCACAGAAACAAGAAAAGCAGCUUGACUUCAGAGUGUUGUUUACAGUUUUCUGUCAUCAUGAUCUCCCCUGAAGUUUAUCACUAUUAUACAAGCAAGCAGAGCGGCCGUUUGUGCUCACAGAUGGUGACGGUGUGGAGAGACGGUGGUGUUUCCUCAGAAGAACUAGCAGAGUCACAAAGGGCACGAGUCCAUCUCACCACCUUGACUUGCUGACUGAUGCUCGUCUGCACUGCACAGAGGAAAUCAACUGACCGAGGUUUGUCCAGUGACGUGUUAUGAAAUGUAUAUUUGUUUUAUGCUUACAGAUUUGUUUUUCUUGACAGAGGCUCUGCAGAGGUUAGACAAAGCAGAGAAAAUAUGUGCU